rnacentral:lncRNA from 1 species
AGCUUGUGCGAAUGAUGCUAAUAUGAAUGAAUGAGAUGCACCCGUAUCGAAUAUAGCUCUAGCCCUAGUGCCUCUGAUCAGAAUAAUACCUGCCACGACGUCGUCGGGAACGAUGAUUGGUGGCUCCUCCACCUGAGUGGCAAAAACCCGCCCACUAGGUGCUCGAGAAGCCUCCGGCUGACGUGACGCCGUCGGUCGUCCAGCAGAUGUUGCGGGUGGCAGUCCCGCCAACUGUCGCUGCGUGUACUGUACUGAGGCUGAUGACGGAGCUGGGGAUACGCCGCCCGGGCACUCUCGACUCAUGUGCCCCGGUUGGCCACAUUGAUAACACCGCCCCCCCCGCUGUGGGCAGCUGGUGGCUCUAUGCUACCCGCCGCAUAUCACACACGGGUAGUUAAUCUGACCCCGUGUCUGACUCCUACCUCCCCGCCAUUGUGAUCGUUGUGGUCGCGGGGGUCGCUUAGAACUCGAUUGCCCCGCCGAUCCACCAGCAGGUCGCUUCUUAGUCUUAUCCCUUUCCUUAUCCUUCUCAAAUGCCUCGCGUUCGUCCCGCGCAAUGGCAUUCCCGCGCUCCACCCAAAGCGCGCGGUCAAGAACCUCCUCAUAGGUCUUCAAGCGGAAUGCAUGAAUGACCUUGAAAAUCUCGGGUCGCAACCCGCGCUCAAAUACCUCCGCUCGGUCCCUAUCGCCAUGAACCAAGUUCGGUACGCAGUUGAUCAUAUGCGUGA